rnacentral:lncRNA from 1 species
CUUGGGUCUCCUGGCCUGGCUACCAACAUGCCUGUGGCUUCUCAUUGGGCCCCGUGAGUGCUGGCAGGGCUGUGAAGCAGGUGUGACUAAUGGGUCAGCUCCCCGCUGGGACUGUGACCCUGAAGCUAACAAACCUAAGGGCAAGGCCAGGCGCAGCAGCUUUCUGAGUCUCUUCUGAAGUGGCUUGAAGUCGAUACUGUGUGUGUAUGUAAGAUCUAGCCUGAAGGAAGGCGCUUUGUUCAGUUGCUAACUUAUUUUCUUGGUGACCAACUGGACCUUCCCUUUCUUGGUUAAAAUCUGCAAGACUCUUCUUCCUUGGUCACACUGGACAAUUGGCUUGUUAGAGCUGCAGUCAGGGGAACCUGGGAGAGACUCACCUUGCGAAGAAGACAAAGGCCACGGUGCUAAUGGUGGUGGUGCAGGUAUCCUGAGAUGGCCAGAGCUCAGAGAAGUUCAUGUCAAGAGGUGACAAGCCACAGUGAAUUUACGGAAUUUUUGUUUCUAUGUUUAUGGAAAUUUAUGUGUGCACUCAUGCCGUGUUAUGGACUGAAUUGUGUCCUCCCAAAAUGCAUAUGUUGAAACCCUAACGUCUAAAGUGACAGUAUUUUGAGGUAGGGCCUCUGAGGAAGUAAUUAAGGUUAAAGAGGUUAUAAGAGUGGGGCCCUAGUGAUGAGAUUUGUGCCCCUGUAAGAAGAGACACCAGCCCUCACUAUCUCUCCCUGUCCCUCUCUCUUUCUGUCUGUCUUUCUGCCAUGUAAGGACACACAAAGAAGGCAGCCACCUGCAAGCCAGGAAGAGAGCCCUCACCAGGGACCAAAAUGGCCAGUGCCUUGAUUUUGGACUUCAGCCUCC